rnacentral:sRNA from 1 species
CUCGCUCUGUUAGCCGGAGUUAUUUAAGUUAGAUGAAUAGUAAAAAAUUGACAUGUAAAAUCGUUACCCGUUUUUGUAAGUAGUUUUUCCUUAUUUCUUAGCAAUAUUAAAUAAUUCAAUUAUCAGCGCAUUGCAUUGAAUGCAAUCAACAAUUUAGAAAAUUUAUGAAUAAGGGACAAAUUAUGUCUAACACAAAUACUGGCACUGUAAAAUGGUUUAACGAAGAGAAAGGUUUCGGCUUCAUUUCUCAAGACAACGGCGGCGCUGACGUAUUCGUACACUUCCGUGCUAUCGUUUCUGAAGGCUUCAAAACUCUGAAAGAAGGCCAAAAGGUUUCUUUCGAAGUUGAAAACGGUCAAAAAGGCCUACAAGCAGCAAACGUUGUUGCUCAAUAAUUAGCAUUUAGCUAAAAAGAAUUUUAAAGCGCUGAUUUUUAUCGGCGCUUUUUUC